CAAUAUAGACAAUGUGUUAGACUAUCAUUCUGACUUCCUAGAUAAUUGUCUCAAAGAUUGUAUAUUGACAAAUCCUGAUCUAUUAAAAACUGUAUAUAAACUCAUGAUGGUCUGUGUUACCUUCUCAAACUUUGUACAGAUUGAAUUCCAGUACUUCAGUAAAAGUAAAGACUAAACCUUCAAGAGAAAGUUCUCUUCAGGCCACGAAAAAAGAUUCUAAAGACACCUCCUCUAAACAGAAGAUGGCAACUAAAAUUGUUGCUGAAAAUGUGGAUUUGAUAGUUGCUAGUGAAAAUUUUGAAAGGACAAUUGCAAACUUUGACCAGAACUGUUCUCGGUUACUGCUGGAAUUAUUAGAAAAGAUAAUGGACUACAGCUGUAAUAGUGGAGAAUCUAAAUUACAUAAUAUUUUAUACAGG